rnacentral:tRNA from 1 species
GCCACCGUAGCUCAAUCGGCAGAGCAGCGGUUUUGUAAACCGCAGGUUUCGGGUUCAAGUCCCGACGGUGGCU